rnacentral:rRNA from 1 species
CGCGGUAAUACGUAGGUGGCAAGCGUUGUCCCGGAUUUACUGGGCGUAAAGGAUGUGUAGGCGGAUACUUAAGUGAGAUGUGAAAGCCCCGGGCUUAACCUGGGGACUGCAUUUCAAACUGGGUAUCUAGAGUGCAGGAGAGGAAAGCGGAAUUCCUAGUGUAGCGGUGAAAUGCGUAGAGAUUAGGAAGAACAUCAGUGGCGAAGGCGGCUUUCUGGACUGUAACUGACGCUGAGGCAUGAAAGCGUGGGGAGCAAACAGGAUUAGAUACCCUGGUAGUCCACGCCGUAAACGAUGAGUACUAGGUGUAGGAGGUAUCGACUCCUUCUGUGCCGCAGUUAACACAAUAAGUACUCCGCCUGGGAAGUACGGUCGCAAGAUUAAAACUCAAAGGAAUUGACGGGGGCCCGCACAAGCAGCGGAGCAUGUGGUUUAAUUCGAAGCAACGCGAAGAACCUUACCUAGACUUGACAUCUCCUGAAUAGCGUAGAGAUACGUGAAGCCCUUCGGGGCAGGAAGACAGGUGGUGCAUGGUUGUCGUCAGCUCGUGUCGUGAGAUGUUGGGUUAAGUCCCGCAACGAGCGCAACCCUUAUCAUUAGUUGCUACCAUUAAGUUGAGCACUCUAGUGAGACUGCCCGGGUUAACCGGGAGGAAGGCGGGGAUGACGUCAAAUCAUCAUGCCCCUUAUGUCUAGGGCUACACACGUGCUACAAUGGUGAGAACAACGAGAUGCAAUACCGCGAGGUGGAGCCAAACUUGAAAACUCAUCCCAGUUCGGAUUGCAGGCUGAAAUUCGCCUGCAUGAAGUUGGAGUUGCUAGUAAUCGCGAAUCAGAAUGUCGCGGUGAAUACGUUCCCGGGCCUUGUACACACCGCCCGUCACACCAUGAGAGCUGGUAACACCCGAAGU